GCAUAACUGAAUCAUAUUUUGAUAAGUGUGCCCCAUUAAAAUAAAAAAAAAAAGGCUCCUGAGAUGUAGCAUACAUUUCACCAUAGUAAAUGCUGUAAGCCAUGGAUUGAAAUUACAAAUCAAUUAAAGAUGGACAUGAAUUCCUGUAACAAGCCAUCAUUAUUCCAAACAUAUAAACAAUCAUUUAAUAAAAUACUGACAGCAGGUGUGUUAAUAUCUUGUAGGAUUAGGUGACACAACACCUAGCCUAGAUAUACUGUCAGUAUUCUGUUGAACCAUAUCGCCUUUUGACUCUAGAUCUCCUCACCAUCAACACAGCAUUGCUGGUUGCCUUGACUUCUAGAAGGUGAACAUCGGAGCUUCAGGCACUCUUUAGGAGCCCUUUACAGUAUUCCAUAAGACUUACUUUUAGAACUAGCCCUGACGUUUUGUUUCUGGCAUUAUACAACUUAACCGGCUUCAAGUGUUCCUGACGGGUUAAAAGUCCAUUACACUAGAUAACAUUCCUCCUCCGGGACUGUGGCAGCUAAAAUGGCUCCAGAACAGAUAGGCAAU